AUAUUGAAGAUGAUGAGAUUGAAGAUAUUAACGAGUUCAUAGAUGAUGAGGAAUUAUAUGAUUCAGAAUCUAGUUAUGAUUAACAACUUGAUUUUGAAAGGUAAUCAUUAUGCCAACUACUCGAGGAAGAGGGCGUCGGGUUAAUCAAGCCAAUAAUCCUCAUCAGCUCACUCAAAUUGCUUCGAAUCCUCCACCACAUGUUUCUCAUCACUCACCUCGUGAUGGAUCUACUAGUUCAUUAGCUAAUGGUGGUGCUACAUCAGCUAGUGGUGGACAAUCAUCUGAUACCACCCCCUUGAUUAAUGGUGGUGAAUCAAAUACUAUCCCAACAUCUGAUAAUCAACAACCUACUAUGGUGCCUUCAAGUGAAGAUUCUAAUGUAGAAGUUGAUAGGAGGCAAAUAAUAUCCGUGGAGGCAGUUUCUAAACCGUAAGUAAAAUUGAAUUUAUGAAUAUGAUUAAUACUUUA